UUAUAUUAUCUAUUAUAUCACUAUAUAAGAAUUGGGAUUCAGAUGUCCCAGUCAUUAGUAGGAACACCUGGCAUGCUGGGCAACGAGCUGUGGAAUGAACAGAAUAUGGAAGGUAGGGAUUUGUCACCAAGGUUGAGGGGCCCCCGAGGAGUGAAUUCUAACAAAGCAGCUGCCUUCCUUAAGGACCAAACAACCGGCUGUGACCAAAGCAGUUGGUCUGGCGGUGUCCAAACCAGAGGAUGAGAUCUAUCAAGACAGCCUGUGAAAGUUAAGCUUAUACGUAAAGGCCUCUCCCUCGUCCAAAUUCCAGGCUGCCCGUGAAGCAUGCGUCACUCACUAAACAGUUAAUGAAACACAAAGAGCCUUGAAUAUCUCAAGUGUCACAUUUCAAGACGUAUAGAAUAAUUAGGAAAAAUCUGAGCUGGCAAAACUCUUCCUGGCUUGUGCUGGCAAGCAGACCAUCUUUGUUUUCCAUUAGUGUGUGUUGUCGUCACAGUAACUGCAAGGCUCCAAAUACAGGCCCGGGGUGUCAUUUCCUCAUGUACUUAGGCUGCCACACUGAAAUAGCAUUAUGAACUCAGCAAUGCCUCUUCCUUUCCUGUUGUACCUCAGUCAAAGAAGCAGGCCCUAAAAGGAGUUACUUAAGACUGCUGCUGUGGCUUAAACAAAGCUCUCAGGGACUGGAGUGCUGGUUAAUAUCGUGUUUCUUCAUCUCUUUCCUGGGAGUUUCUCAAGUUCUGCAAUCAGCUGGUCAACAGCCAACUGGAGCUGCCCAAUUCAUGUUGGACUUUCCUUAUUCUAAGUUCUUACACAACUCGCUGCCUAGCCUUUGAAAUUACACUGCCUCAGCUACUGCCAUGGGGAAAGUUGUAUUCUGCCUGCAGCCUUUUCUCUUCUCUGAUUAGCUAAAGAGUAGGACUGACCAUUUAAGGGAAAAAGAAGAACAUAAUCCAAUAUAUUUUCCUGAGGUUCCCAUAUUUUUGCCCUAGAGCCUUUAUAAUGUAUUCUUUAAAGCCAGGAAAAUUCUUUUCUUCUUUUCUUUCUUUUCUUUCCUUCCUUUCUUCUUUCUUUCUUUCUAAAACAAGGUCUUCAUUAGAGAAUGAUUAUUCUGAAAUUCAGUUUGCCUUAUCUUUUAGAAACUCAUCCUUUCAAUUGUGAAAAAUAAAGCAGCAAAAUGGACAGGUCUAAACUAAAACAAUCGGAUAAUUCUGAGAAAGAGAUGACUUUCUGAUUCCUUAAAAAGAAUUCACAGUGAUCGCCAUAUUUCCUAAAUGUGUUAUCACAUAGUGGAACAGUGAGAAUCAAAGGAAACAGACAACACAGAAUCGGAGAGAGCUCUCUUCUUGUGGAAACAGAAAUUUCUUAAGAGACACUGUCAGAGCAGUGACUUUGUCGAGAAGCUGAGCUCGCGUGUGCUAUAUUUAACCAGUGUUCUCAGCAAGUCAAGCCUGUCAACAGCUGAGAAGUUUGGAGCCGGCUCUGCUCAGUUCCUCGGCAGCUGGGUUAUCAGUGGAUACAGCUCUGCUCACCCUGUAAAAGAUUGCGGGGAAACGGCAGACCCUUUUAAGGACUGCUGCUCAUUACACAGAGGUCAUUCACUCAAAGCAAGAAACGGAGAACACUCCAGGAAAACCAGGACUUCAGACACCUCUGGUUGUCGACAGCCUUGUCUCAUCAUUAAACCUCCAGUCUCCAAAGCCAGAGAGCGAUCACUUCUACCCUGAACUCCAACAUAAAGAAUAUCUCAAGA